GAGUUGUAUGGGGGGGGGGGUGGAACGUAACUGCGUAGGGAAGGCGCAAAGGAAAAGGGCUGGAGCCGGCUGCCCACCCCCGAGGAGCGGGUAUGGCUCAGCCGUUGUGUCUGGGUCGUGCUGGUGAGGCUUGGCGCCUGACAGAGCCGUGCGGUCAGGGCAGUGAGGAGCAGCAGUCUGCGUCACGGUCGGGGUUAGCUCAUCCCUGGCUAAUAACCUGGGCCAUGCGAGGCAUUCCUAAAGAGCAAAGGGAAAGGGAAGCUGGAGGAGGAAAGAAAGCAAUAAAAGGAAACGAUUUUUCAAUGUGAGAAAUGCGUGCUCAACCAUCAAAAAAUAAACAGGCGUCUGUGCUGGUGGCAGGAAGAGUCCAUUCUGUUCCUACAGGGAGUGUUUAUUGCGCCGGGUUGUGAGCCAGCUGACAGGGAGCAGCUUCACUCCCUGUAACCUCCGUGGAGCUCAGAGCAAUGUACGGACUGCUGCUGCUGGAGCCUGCCCUGGCUGUGACACCGCUGCAGCAGAGGGCUGGUUGCGACGUGACUGCAUUGCUCCAGAAGGGAGUUGUGCCAGCCCCGCUAGCUUGGUGCUGUGCUCUGCCAAAGAGAAGUUUGCCAGCCGCUUGAGUGGCAGUGAGAUGAAACCUGCAGGUAGACACUGCUGGUUGGAUGGGAAUUUCUCACUCAUAAAAUCUGAAAAAUGUGUUUAGAACUAAGUUUUACUCUCUCCUUCCUCCCCCCGUACACGUGAUGUCUACUCUGUGCUGUUAAAAAAAGUAACUAAAUUAUGAAGGAUGGAAUAAUUAAUACCAUCUGAACUGUACUGUGAACCCGCUGUAGGGAACCUGCUUUAGUAGGGGGUUGGACUAGGUGAUCUCCAGAGAUCCCUUCCAACUCCUACAGUUCUGUGAUGCAGAUAAUUGUUGCUCGCUCAAUGUAAGGUCUUGCAUACAUGCAUAUUUUCUUAAGUGUGAAAGCCUUUUCUUCCCUCCUAUAUGCAUGGAUAAAUGUGUACCCAUUUUAUGGUCAUCUAGUCGCACUGCUGAAGAUAAUUCCAAUGUACAUGGACUGGAAUGUGAUUUGGCUAUGCAUUAUGAGAGCUGUAUCUUAGAAAUACAGGCUUUUCAUUGUUUUUUCCCUCUUCCCAUCUUUUCUCUCGCAGUUUAGUCUAGAAUAAAAUUCCCGGUGAUUUUGAGACCUUGCUUUUGAAAAGACACGUGGAAAUGGCUGGGAUGCAAUUUUGUUGUGAUACAAUUUGGCUUUGACCCUUCGAGGGUCGUUCCUGCAGUACUCUGCUCUAGUCCUGGUGAAUUCUUCAGCCUGGGGAGGGGCUGAAGGAAGCUGCCUUUGCCUAUUUUGCUUGGAGAAGUUAAUCAGAACCACUGCGGGGAUCAUGCUGAGCUGUCCUCACAUGGCUGCUUAAGAAACAAGGAAGCUCUUGAUACUGCUUUCAAGGAAAGGAAGAGCAGCCACAGAGAAUGAUCAGAAGGUCAAGGCUUACACAUUGUGUGCAGACAGUUCUGAUAUGGGGAGGCUGCAAGAUUUGUUGCUUCAACAGUAAGCUGGAGAUGAGUAUAAGGAGUUUGACAAACGAGAGACUGGCCUAAAUAUUACACAGGAAAAAAGAAAUGCGUGUAUAUGUGGUUUUGCUUCUUGUUGCCUUUCUGAGGCUGGCAGCGCUCCUCUUUUUGUAUAAGCACUUCUAAGACAGAUCAGCAUUGUAUCUAAAUUCAAAAGCCUGGCUUAAAGAAAUUGGAAACAGGUUUCAGAAGCUUAUUGUGGUGGCAAAGGCACACCACCUGGGAGGAAGGAAGCAAAGCCUGUGAAGAUUACUGGGAAGAGUACCAGGACAUUUGAGGGAGAGAACACUGCACAGUGCUCUCAUAUAGACCUGGCCAAUUAUGUAGCCGUUAGGGAGACGAUGAAUAAACUCUGUAUAAUUUACAGUUCUCCAUAAGCUUGACAGGCUGAGUUUGGAUUUAUCGAGUUGAAAAAAAGGACGACAAAGCUUCAGUUCAGACUGGGGCUGUUGGUUCCUGCAAUCUUACAGGUACUCAGUUUCUUAACAUUUCAGAGCGUGAGUGAAAAAUGGUAUACUGAGUUGUGGGCUGUGGAGUUGGACCUGCAGUCAUGAUAUAGGUGAGUUUAUUGCACGUAGAUAAGAAAAUGUUUUAAAUUAAUGUUUCAAGAUAAGCAGCACUCUAGAUACAGUUCUCCAAAUAACAAAAUGGACUCCUGAUACAAGAUAAUGGUGCGUUUAUGCAGAGCAGUAAAGCAGAAGCAAUGAAAAGGACUAAAAAUUAGUCCAAAUUGUAUUCUUUGGUACAGUUGUGUGUGUUUUGGAAGACACUGAUGGGAAAUUACAGAAUUUUGCACUUUGCAACAGUAAGGGGAUAAUUGAGCAUAAAAUAUAGCCUGAUUUCAUCUGUCAGGUGUAGCCUAUGUUUCUGUUUGUAGUUGAUUGAGAAUAGUUGAUCUCUUUCUAUAGCGCCUUGUUACUGUGAUUACAGUCAUUUACUGAAGCUUCUGAAUGUGCUGCUGACCACUUUUUAAAAUCAGUGAAAUUUUAACAAUCCCAGAUUACUAUUGCACUUUCCUACUGGCUCUUUGCUAAGAAAGUGUCUGUGCCCCUUUAUGGGGAGGAAAAGGUUGGCUGUGUUCGUGUGGGUUUUUCAGUUAAAGACAGAUUUCUGUAUUGUUGUUUGUAUUCAUUCUCAUAAUUGAGCAGUUUUCAGUCUUUCUCCAUGUAAAGCCAACAACACAUUUUCUAGCAGUAAUGGUCCAAAACCAGACCUGGUAGGUCUUGUGUACGCAGUUGUCUCCCACCGUUCUUGCAGACCAGACAAACCUCACACACUCAGCUGUGCGCCACUGGGACCUGCGUUCAGCACUGCCACCCGACAUGCAGGACACAGCCUGCUGCUGCACUUCGCUUGUUGCUCAGCCUUGCUUGGCUCUCCUGGCCGUGGAGCACAGGAAAAGUCUUAGCAGUGCAGGGGAACCAAAGGGAGUGCCUGGCAGGGCACACAGGGCAAGAGAAGCUAUGCUCUUGCAGAGCAUUGCAGCCUGUCCCCUCGUUCAGCAGAACAGGCCAGAAACAGCCACUGUGAUCUCAUACCCCACAGAGAAAGUACCUGAAAGACAUGAGGAAGCAUUUCCCAGUGGAGGGAAAGUUUAGUUCUGCUUGGCUAGGCACGUUUGCUCUCCUACUGCCCCCAGCAUAGCUGUUGUAACUCACUGAUUAGUCUGACUUAAAGAAGGUUUGUGCUUCUGGGACAGAAAUACCCAAUCCUCCCUUAAGUACUGCCAUUUUUUUUUCCAGUGCAGACAACACCAAGGAAUCAGAAUGUCACAUUCUCCUUCCAACAUUAUUAUUUAUAUUCUUCGUGACUCCAGGCAAAUUUCCUCUCUGUGCCUCAACUUCCUCAUUUAUGGAACAAUGACAGUCAUGAUUGCAAAUAACAUUUACUCCAGCAUACAGAAGGCUUUUCAGAAAACAUUCUUUUCAGAAGACAUCAAUGAAUCAGAUAUGGUCUAGAUGAGUUCCCAGAUAUAACACCAGUUGUUGUAGUGCCACACGUUGUGAACUUACAGUGCUUCUGCUUUGUGUUCAAUAAAAGUUGAGGUACGUAUUUAAAUUCAGAUAAGAUAACAUGCAUCACUAUACAUUAAGUGCAUUCCAGUCGCCAAAAAAGUUUAGUCUCUUCUGUUACAGCAUUUGCAUGAGCAUAUGAUUUUUUCAGUUAUGAUAAAAAUCCAGUUGAAAAAUACUGAUGACCUUGAAAUCGCAAAAUGGGGAAGAACAAAUGAAUGAUUUGAUGGCUUAUAUUUCGUAUCAGUGAUUACGUUGUUCUUUGAUAGUUCAGUACUCCAUGACACAAAUCACUGGUUUGUGACUGUGCAGGGCUAUUGGACGUACAGUAAAGCAUUCUUUGCAAAAGUGUAUUUGUGUGUGUUACAGGAAGAGGCUCGUGGCUGGUCAUUGCACAAGUGCUUUUUUCACUUCAUUAAAACAGGUACAGAGGGAACAAAUCGUUGAAAAAAAAAAGUUUUUAGAUAAGUUAUUUCUCUUUUCUGAUGUGGUUUGCUCAUAUAAUUUAGUUUGUCAACUGUUUUUGGAACGGUCGAAAAUACAUAGUAGCAGAUUGGAAGUUUUCUGGCAGUCGCUUAUGCUUUGUGAAACAGUGUGCCACUGUGAGAUAGAGCAUCUCUUGUACGGGGUGUAGUAAAGUACCCUACAGUUCUAAUUAUAUGUUGUGAACAACCCAAGAAAAGAAACAUUCUCCAAGUCAUAAAAUGGAAUCAUUGAUUUGAUUUGAAUUUACAAAAGUCCCCUUUCUUAUAAUAACCCAAACAUGGGUUAUUUUUUAAAUGCUGAACAUAGCCGUGUUAGUUUGAGAUUUCUGGGCUUCUUUAUUAACAAUAUUGAUAUUCACUGUAAAUUUUAAAUUGGUUUGUCUCUGUCAGACUGGAACUAAAUGUAGCUAAAGGUCUCAUUAUCUCCAGAAGAGUGUAUUUUCAUUAUUAUUGUUAUUCAGUUAAUUAGUACACGGUUUACUACUUCAGCCACACAAACUGCAUUCUUCUGUGGGUAAAAAAUGCUUUGUUCACACGUAACUCUGAAACAGGAGCAAAAUUGUAGCAUCCAUUCUAGAUCCCACAUCUCUGAAAAGCUAACAAAGGAGAAAGAACCCCUGACCUAGCUCAUGGCAGUGAGGUGAUGAAUUGCACUGCUCAGUCAUUGCCUUGAGAAAGUUGGCAACGUCACCCAUAACCUGUGAUUUCUCCCUGUUUAACACUUCCUGAGUGUUAUUCACAGAUUUUGAAAGACUACACAUAUGCAGGAAAAAUGCAGAGUGAGUGCUUAUUCCAACAUGGAAGUACUUUGGGCAUAAAGGAUUUGUUUGCACAAAUACCUAAGGAGAUGGAGACACUAGCAGGGAAGUCGAUCUGAUUAGUCAUACACAGUGAGAGAAGGACUGCAGCUGUGAGGUAUUCUGUCCUAAACUUAGAAAUCGCUCAAUUGUAUUUAACUGCUGCUGGCUCCUGCAUUCAGACAGUGCAAACACUCGUGCUCUUCUAAGACAAGGGUGAGUAUCAGAACAUGCUUAAUUGCUAUGUAGAUCUGCAGCUGUGGUCAGAUAGUGUUUAAAUGCUGGCCCUUACGCUCACUCAAAAGUAAAGAUGUACAUGGAGAAUGUGCCCGAGCCAUUCUCCUCUCAGAAUUUGGAAUGUGAAGGGACAGGCUGCCCAGCGACGUUAUGGAGUCUUCUCUGGAGACGUUCAAGACCUUCCUGGAUGCAUACCUGUGCAGCCUGCCAUAGGGAGCCUACUUUGGCAGGGAGUUGGACUACAUGAUCUCUAGAGGUCCCUUCCAGCCCCUACAGUUCUGCGAUUCUGUGAUUUCUAGUGUAGGAUGGUGUACAAGAACCAUCGAAUCAUAGAAUGGCCUGGGUUGAAAAGGACCACAGUGAUCAUUGAGUUUCAACCCCCCUGCUAUGUGCAGGGUUGUCAACCACCAGACCAGGCUGCCCAGAGCCACAUCCAGCCUGGCCUGGAAUGCCUCCAGGGAAAGGAUGGGGCAUCCACAGCCUCCUUGGGCAACCUGUUCCAGCAUGUCACCACCCUCAGAGUGAAAAACUUCUUCCUAAUAUCCAACCUAAAUCUCCCCUGUCUCAGUUUAAAACCAUUCCCUUCCACCACUCAGACUCCAGCUCAGUGCUUUGUGGGGGAUGUUAAAGACAACCCCGGACUCUCUCUGCAGGAAGGAUGCUGUAGCACAGGGUCCGGACUUCAAGGCGGCACAGCUUCUAGAAUUGGCUCUUUUUAUUUUUUCCUUCUUCCCGAAAGCAUAAAUUCACACUUUUAUAGAAGUUAGCAGAGAGUUAUCUGAACUUCUGAACUCUGUCCAUGAUGUCAGCUUUGGCAAAAGGAAUGUGAGGAUGUGUUUGACUCCAGAAACCAAAGAGCUGGUUACAUGUUUAGUUGCAAACAUGGUGGACUGCCAGUGAAUUCUGAAUACUCUUCAAUGAGAGAUCCGUUAGAGCUGAAAGAAAAGUGCAGUGAAAAUGCAGAAUAUUACAUUUGGAGCACUGCAGAAAUACUGAUCUGGUGGAAGAUUAUAGUAUAUUUUACUUCUGUGUGAGAGGAGAAGGUUGCUCUCUGCAGCCGUAAGAGCAGACAGGCAGCAAUUCCAACCAGUGUCAGUUUGGGAAGAUAAUAUAAGUUGAGGGCACGCUCUUACAUCUCAGUGUAAGAAUCCCAGUUCUCCAGGAAACACAGACUUAUUAUAUCAAACUAAUGAUUGCCUGUUCUGCCGAAGGGAUAUGUAUCAUAUUCUGUGACAUCAGGCAGCACCUGGCUUGGUAGUUGUUUAGAGAUUCUCAAAAGAAAAUAGAAGCCCUUGUAUAAUGGCGCUGUACUACACACUGAAUAAAUAAUUGGGGAAGUGGCUGAGCUGCACCUUUAUAUGUCACAUAUUGGAAUUGUUUUCUUCAGGCUUGAAAGUAUGACUGGAAAGACGAGCAACAGCAAAGCUGUCUUUCUCUCUAGUGCCUCCAGAGCCAGACUUCUCAGUGCAACAGCUCAAAGUAAGACUAAAAGAGGUGAAAAAAUGGUGUCUUAGUGCAGUGUAUUUAGGACAAGCGAAGGAACAUUCACAGCUAAUUUUAAGCAGCCUUCAGAAUGAAGUGUAACACCUUAUUAACUCACUUGCACUUAAUCCAUUGCAUUCUGGUAUUUUUAGAAGUCAUCAUGCAAUUCAGCAGUACUUUCAGCCCAUAUCUUCCUUGCAGUGGAAGGCAACACUCUAUUUCUCGUUUUAAUUUAGAAUUGGCUUUGACAAUUGAUUUAACCAAAUUAAUUUAGAAAUGGCAUUGAAAAUGCCUGCUUUUCCUCCCUCUCCCCUUAACGUGGCAUUUUUAAGUUGGCUGAAUGUCUUUGUUGCACUCUAGGCUGAAGAGUUCAAGGCCUACCUUCCCCCCUUGCCUCUGCAGUGUGAUGAGAGUUUUGUCUACUUGAACCUCUUGCAGUCUGAAACUAUGGGAGGCUGAAGUCACCUUCACAGAUGCAGGGCUCGUUGCCAGAGGGUUACCUCCCUUCAUCGGAUUGGCGGUGCAAGUACCCAAUCACAGUAAUUUGAAAAGAUCGGCUUUGAGUCUUUUGAAGAUAGUGCUUCUUCCUUUGAUACAGAGUAGCUUAUCAUUUUUGACCACAUGAAAACUGGAGGCAUACUCAUAUCAAGUAUAAACAGCCCUAUUUUGUCUGCACAUAGUUUUAUCUUGAUCCAUUAUCUCCCAGCCAGUAGACUUAUUUAGCUUUGGGCUGCCUCUAGCGAGCAGCGAAGGAAAACAAAGUCCUCUAAGCCGUGGUUUCUCCUUGUUGUUAUGUAUUAUCUAAUCAGGGUUCUCUGGAACAGGCCUUUGGAAACUUAUACUCUGCACGAGUAUUAACUAGACUUAUCACACAGUUAAAGUCUGCUCAGGAGCAGAAAGAAACCUACAGGGAUCCUUUCUGAUGACUUUUCUUUCUGAAUCUACGCUUAAAAGCAUGUAUUAAAAAAUCUCCCUCUAAUACUACCUAGAUAACAGAGAUGUGGUAUGUAAAAGCCCACUGUAUCUGAGGUAGGUAUUUAGAGCAAGGUACAAGAAUGUCCCACUGAAUGGUUUCUGUAGGAAAAUGAUAAUUAUUAUUAUUUUCAGUUGGAAAUAUUUGACAUGGCUGCUUGAGUAUGGGAGAGCUUAGAUUCUUUGCAUGCUCUGAAUUCUGUCUGAUUUUGAUGCCCAGAUGAGCUGAUGUGUACAUCUGCACAGAUAAAGGUGGUGGAGGUGUGUAUGUACACAGUCUGUAGCAGCAGGAAGUGCUGGACUUGACCAGGGCCAUUAUACUCUCUUAUGAUAAGAGUUACAAAUCACAGUAUGCAGGAAGUUCAGAAGUAGCAAAGAGCAACGUAGAAGGAAGUUGUCAUGUCCCUUCUUCCUAAGAAAAGGAGGAAGGCCUGUCUUCUAGUCCAGAACACUCUCAUUCAAUAGCAUGCUUAGUCCCUCUUUUCAGAGUGCAGUUUCUUUUUCAAAUACAGAAACGAUCUCAAAGCAACUGAUUUCCUGAAGCAGAGCAGCUGCCACUUGGACUUUCUGACACCUGACUCCAAAAUCUCAGUGCAUCAGAAGACUCUCCCUGCACUCCUCAUUUUUUGAGGAGUAAUCCAAGCCCUUUCUGUUGAAGACUGAUAAUCUGCUACGCACAAAAAAAAAGGCAAAUUAACACAGUGCUGCAUUCAUGAUGCUGCAACAGGAAAGCAACUUGCUACAGGUCUGGGCUCUAUUUAUGAUUGCAGUGAACCAUGGGCAGAACCAUGGGCAGAACCAUGACUAAGAAAUUUUGGCUCAGAAAAAAAAAAGUGGUUUGUCAUAGAAAAAAAGGGAGAAAGUUGGAGAAACUAAGAAACGGUAGGAAGCCAGAUGAAGGUGGAGUGAUUUUAAAUUGAGGUGGCAGAAAUGUGUUCAGUAACUUGUCGUGAUUGAUGGGAAUGAGAACUAACUAGGGUACUAAUGAGGCCACUGGAGAACUAUGAUUUAAGGACUCUCACAGAAAGGUGCUUUGUAUUGAACCUAUUGUUAGGACAAAUGCCACUUUACAGCUCAGACUCUGUCUGCAUGCAUUCUGAAUGUAAAAAGCUAUAGUGAAAACGGGAAAUAAAUGUAGUUCUGCUUAACCCAUGAAGAGACGUACAUCCUCUGGAUGUGUGCAUGCUACGCGUGCUUCCAUCACAGCCUGAUCAUGAAAGGUUGGGGCAGAGCACAUAACAUCUCCACAUAAUAUGAGAGGCAGAAAUGACAAAAGCAUUUCCAGUACAUUGCUAGGAGAAUGCAUGUACAUUCAGAAAUUAUUCUGAUCAAAGGGAGAGCCUGUAGUUUCUGUGGUUGCUGUUUCUAUGUCUAUAUCCAUUGAUCAAAAGAAAGGGAGGUGUCCUCGUGUUAGGUAAGGGGGGAUGGUACAUCCAGUAGGGACAAACUAUCUGAGAUGGAGUAGGGAGAAGUCCUCUUUUGUUUUGAAAGAACAAUGGGAAUUGUGCUCAUUACUAAAAAGAUCUUGCUUUAUUUUCUUUUUAUCUCUUUGUGUAGUCAGUUCUUUACAUAUUUAGAGACUAUGUCUGUUCUGACCAGCUGUGUAUCACAGCCCCUUUAGUUUCACUGAGCAUAACACAUUCAGUGGAGUAUACUUCAUCUUUGACAUGACGUGUCUUGAAGAAAGCGUCCUGCCUCGGUCUGAAGAUAUCAAAAGAUGGAGCAGCCAAGAUUUUACCUACAGUUCUGUUCCAGAAGGGAAUUGUGUUCACAUUUUAAGUACUGUGCUGCUGCUAGCUCUGCUUUUGCACUCUUCCACUAGACGCCAUAACAGGGCAGAUCAUAUUUGAUAAUUACUGCUUUUCAGUGCUUCACAUAAUUGCCCUAGCACUCCUAGAGACAGAUGAUCUUAGAGGUCUAGUAGUGUUGUGCUUUGAAGGGGAUCCCUAUAACACUUUCUUGCCCUGAACUGUGGUAGAACAUGCCAGCUGAGUAUAGAAGGCAAAGAAAAUGAAAUCUAAAUGCAUUACUGUGUAGCUAAAACAGUGAGGAUAAAUUUCCUCUGUUCCUAGGUGUCUAGAUUCUAUUCUCAACAAAGGACACCAUUAGUGGCGACAAACUGAGCUAUUAGGACCACUUUCUAUUGUGAAAAGGGUCCAUCUUCCUUGCUCUUCUCACUGAUUCCUAUGUGAUCCUGACACCCUUGUGCUGAUGUUCAUAUUCACCGGGCUGAUUAUUAACCCAGCUGAAAACUGUCCCUUUUUCACUUCUCUAUAUUUAUUUUCUGCCAGUUCAGUGAGCUGAAUUAGCUCAGUGAUGGGUUAGGUGGGUGUCAAAUGUGCUACAAGGAAGCAUGCACAAGGAACAAAGGAGUGGAAUUAGGGGAAAGAUGGAGGAAAAGGACAGGAAAAAGGAAACAAGUUGAAAGAACAGGAUUGCUUCUUUCUAUGACAGAAAGCCUUAAGAUCAGCUAAACUCACCUUGUCUAAUUGCAUCUUUAGGAAGCUGAUUUCCCUAGAUUUCCUGUGGUGUCAGUACAGAAAAGGGAUCUCAUUUAGGGAGUGAUUAAAAAGUAAGUGAAGGGGAGUAGCCUAAUUUAUACACAUUACUUAGGCAAUGUAAAUGUGCCUGUUCUUUACUGCAAAGAUCACUGUGGAUGAAAGAUUUAAAAUGCAAUUAAUGACUAAAUGACUCCAUGCCCAGAAAACCAAAACAAUGGUCUAUAGAUGAAGAAGCAGUCUUCUGAGAUCUCUAAAAGGCAGUCCUUAAUGCCCUUACAACAAUUAGAAAGACCAUGUAAAUCCAGACAGUAGAGCAUGAGCAACUGCAGAAACACUGAGUAAAUCAGCCAGCCUUCUUGUCUCAAGCAAGAAAGUUUGUCAAGCUGAUGUUACUUGGAAUUUGCUUAGUUUCUGACAGAGGAGAAAACUGAGAACAAUCUUCUGGUGUACAGCUUGUUUUCAGCAGCAGAGCUUCCCCUGCCGUUCCCUUCAUGCCACCAACUCUCUCUCUAACUCUGUUUCUCUCUUGCUCUUUCCACUUCCACCACUAUUUGUAAAAAUCACUAUCGAAAGUGACCUACAUAAAUAAAUAAAUUGGAUGAAUAAGUUAUGAGGGAGAGAAUGAAUGUGUGAGUGUGUGUAGGUGGAUGACACAGAGAACCAGGCUGGUGGGAGCAGCAGGAGCUAUCCGUUCAUUUGCUGUCAGCAGCAGAGCCUGGGAAGAGUAAGGUCAUUAAGUUCUUGAUCGUGCAAGGUGCUGAGUGCCUUCAUCUUCUGUCAUUUCUGGCAGUAAUUGAAAGCUUUUCUGUACCUUGUCAGUAGAGGCUUCAAGGAAGGAAGAAGAGGGCAGCAGCCUAAACCUCUGGUUUUCAGCUUUUUUUUUCUUUCCAGUUUGCAGAUCCCUAAGGAUUUUCCUCCUGUAAUGAAUCUCAACUGACUGACAUAGGCUCACUUCUUAUAAUUACUUCUCAUGGAGCCUCUUAAAAUAAUCAGUGGACCCUCAGAGGCCUGGCAACUGAAUUGCUGCCUUUCAGAUACAGCAGCUAAACAACUCGGGAAAAACCUUCUUGCAAGAGCAAGGCUGGAAGUGUCAUUUCAGAUAUGGUAUCAUUUAAUACGACUUGUACCCACCCAGGUACAAUCUCUUCUCUGUGUGAGACACUAGCCAUUACGUUCACCAGAUGGCUAAGCCACUGAGCCACUGGCCACUUGCCACACCACCCACCGGUAGGACACGUUCAAUCACAAAAUGGACUUUGCAGUGCAGAGGGGUGUAUUUCUCCCUUGAUAAGUGCCACUUCUUGCCCCACAGAUGAAAUGUGUCCAUUUUCCUGUGCUGUGGAGGAACACAGGCCAGCCUCUUGGGAAGGAGCUGUUAUGGGGGAACCCAAUGAUAGAUUGUGCAGCCAACCCUUGGGUAGAUUAUCUACUCCCCUGGGAAGCACUGGAAAGGAAAACAGGCUCUUUCAAUUUCUCAAAGGAAUCAGAGUAGCAGCAGAGAAGAGAAUAGGAUGUAAAGGAUGAGGAAUUAUUUGUUGCAGGCUGUGCUUUUGAAAAGAUGUGAUGUUCUGAAUCCACUUUCACUUGAAACUUCACAAUUCUAUGUGCAGGAGCAGAGAAUUAGAAUAAUAAAGUCUGGAAUUCAUAAAUAUGCUUAUAACUCCAGUCAAAUCAAAAUCCCUCCAAUGGUAAGGAAGGGGCACGGUCUGCCUUUCAGUCAUAGGUAGCACAGUCUCUACAGACUGCUCUACAGUGAUUGUUCUUAAUCAACCCUUUAUUCAGCCACGAGACACUGUUAACAUAUCAAGUAGGCCUGGCUCUCAUCUGUCUGCUGUUGACAGCAGUCUAGUAGUGACUGAGUCUCGAGUUCACUGCAGAUCUGUUUGUAAGCCCAAGGUUAUCUGUAUUACUGCAGGAAAAAGAAGGAGAGAAUUAAAAUUUUGGCAGUGGCACCAGAGAUCUCAUUAAUGUGAAUCUGGAAGUCCCCAGAAUAAUGAAUGAGCACCACUGCCAGGUGAGAGGCCAUUGCCCUGCAGAAAACAUUGCUUUAUGCUGUCAGUUGACCGGUUGCGCAACACCACUUACAGACUGCAAUAUAUCCUUCCUUGUCUUGGGCAUUUUCUGUUUGUCUUCACAGCAUGAUGUCUGGAAACAGCGGAAGAGGAAGUGAGCUUGGACAUAAGCUGAAAUGGACAGCAGUAAAAAUUCUGCCUUCUUAGGGACUGUGUGUGUUAUCCUCUAUCUGAACUCCCUUUCAGGUGGCUAACAGUAGAACUAAUACAAUAUUGAUGUAGCACAGAACCCCACAUCACAUUUCAAAAAGAACUGAGCCACGCAAGUACUUAAGGUCUCAUUGACAGUCAGUGGGACAGAUCUUACAGCAUAUUUAGGUGUAAGACCAAGCACUAUGUGUAUCAGAAUUUCUAGAUGUGUCAUAGAAUCAUAGAA